rnacentral:rRNA from 1 species
AUACGUAGGUGGCAAGCGUUGUCCGGAAUUAUUGGGCGUAAAGCGCGCGCAGGCGGUCCUUUAAGUCUGAUGUGAAAGCCCACGGCUCAACCGUGGAGGGUCAUUGGAAACUGGGGGACUUGAGUGCAGAAGAGGAAAGUGGAAUUCCAAGUGUAGCGGUGAAAUGCGUAGUGAUUUGGAGGAACACCAGUGGCGAAGGCGACUUUCUGGUCUGUAACUGACGCUGAGGCGCAAAAGCGUGGAGAGCAAACAGGAUUAGAUACCCUGGUAGUCCACGCCGUAAACGAUGAGUGCUAAGUGUUAGGGGGUUUCCGCCCCUUAGUGCUGCAGCUAACGCAUUAAGCACUCCGCCUGGGGAGUACGGUCGCAAGACUGAAACUCAAAGGAAUCGACGGGG